AUUGAACGCUGGCGGCAUGCUUUACACAUGCAAGUCGAACGGCAGCGGGGUAGUGCUUGCACUACUGCCGGCGAGUGGCGAACGGGUGAGUAAUAUAUCGGAACGUACCGAGUAAUGGGGGAUAACCAAUCGAAAGAUUGGCUAAUACCGCAUACGUCCUGAGGGAGAAAGCGGGGGAUCGCAAGACCUCGCGUUAUUCGAGCGGCCGAUAACUGAUUAGCUAGUUGGUGGGGUAAAGGCCUACCAAGGCGACGAUCAGUAGCGGGUCUGAGAGGACGAUCCGCCACACUGGGACUGAGACACGGCCCAGACUCCUACGGGAGGCAGCAGUGGGGAAUUUUGGACAAUGGGGGCAACCCUGAUCCAGCCAUGCCGCGUGUAUGAAGAAGGCCUUCGGGUUGUAAAGUAUUUUUGUUAGGGAAGAAAAGGGAAGUGCUAAUACCACUUUUUGCUGACGGUACCUAAAGAAUAAGCACCGGCUAACUACGUG
rnacentral:rRNA from 1 species